rnacentral:rRNA from 1 species
GACAGAGGGUGCAACCGUUGUUCGGAAUUACUGGGCGUAAAGCGCGUGUAGGCGGCCAGCCCAAGUCGGGUGUGAAAGCCCUGGGCUCAACCUAGGAAGUGCACUCGAGACUGAAUAGCUAGGGUACGGUAGAGGGAAGUGGAAUUUCCGGUGUAGCGGUGAAAUGCGUAGAUAUCGGAAGGAACAUCAGUGGCGAAAGCGACUUCCUGGACCAGUACAGACGUUCAGGCACGAAAGCGUGGGGAGCAAACAGG